UCCCCCUGAAUUUAAGCAUAUUAAUGAGGGGAGGAAAAGAAACUAACAAGGAUUUUCUUAGUAGCGGCGAGCGAAAAGAAAAUAGUUCAGCACUAAGUCACUUUGUCUUUAUGGCAAAUGUGAGAUGCAGUGUAUGGAAUGUCAAAUUUCUAGUAUGAGAAAUUAACGAUUUAAGUCCUUCUUAAAUGAGGCCAUUUACCCAAAGAGGGUGCCAGGCCCGUAUAACGUUAAUGAUUACUAGAUGGCAUUUCCAAAGAGUCGUGUUGCUUGAUAGUGCAGCACUAAGUGGGUGGUAAACUCCAUCUAAAACUAAAUAUAACCAUGAGACCGAUAGUAAACAAGUACCGUGAGGGAAAGUUGAAAAGAACUCUGAAUAGAGAGUUAAAUAGUACGUGAAACUGCUUAGAGGUUAAGCCCGAUGAACCUGAAUAUCCGUUAUGGAAAAUUCAUCAUUAUGAUUUUAAUAUUAAUAAUAUUAUAAUAAUGGUGUGCAUUUUUUCUAUAAAGGACAUUGUAAUCUAUUAACAUAAAAAAUAUUUAUUAAAAGAUCUUUGGCUUAAGUUUAUUCGAAUUAUUUUGCUUGCAAUUUAAUAUAGAAUAAAUGCCUUUGAUUUGAUAAAGUGUUGAUAGAUUUAUUAUAAUAUAGUGCUU
rnacentral:rRNA from 1 species